rnacentral:tRNA from 1 species
GGAGAGAUGACCGAGUGGCCUAAGGUAGCGCAUUGCUAAUGCGCCGUACGGUUAAAUAGCUGUACCGAGGGUUCGAAUCCCUCUCUCUCCG